UCGGGAAUUCGGUGCGGUCCGGCGCAUGUCCGCGAUCAAGGCCGAAGCUGCCCUCGCAACUGUAAAUGCGCCGUUUUUGGCGGCGCAUAAGCCAGAUACCG
rfam:Thalassospira xiamenensis M-5 = DSM 17429, complete genome.